AAGGAUCCUUGGGGGAAGAAAGGGAUCCCCACUCACAUCCCCUUGUAAACACUCCAGUAACCAGAGCUUCUGAUGGGAAACUGAGGCCCAGAAAAGGAAAAGUACUGUGCAAGACCACACAGCCAGUGGAUGGUAGAGGGGUGCUUCAAACCAGCGGUGUUUGCCUCCGAGAUCUGCGUGAUUCCCCAAACUCCAGUCAGGUCUCCCUGGUCCCCGCUGCUCCCUGCAGAGGUCUCAUCAAACGCCUGGUCUGCCUGCACCAUGCAGCCUGGAAGCCCCUGACCCAUCGCCAGCUCCUACCGUCACCCGUGAGGUCCAAUAUGGUGUCGUCCUCCCCUCGAUCGUCAGAAACCAUCGC